CCACAGUAGAGUCCACUAGAGACAACAUCUACUCAGAGACCACAGUAGAGUCCACUAGAGACAACAUCUACUCAGAGACCACAGAAGAGUUCACUAGAGACAACAUCUACUCAGAGACCACAGGAGCAGAUAUCAACACAGCCUUUUCCACCCACAGUACCCCUGCUCAGCCAGAGACCCACAGUACCCCUGCUCAGCCAGAGACCCACUUUACCCCUGCACUGAGUGUCUUUGAGGACAGACUGAGGAAAAUAGACAGUCUGUACUGUCCCGCAACAGACCAGCAAAGUUGGAAGGACCAAGAGGAUGGCUAUCAGGUGAUGAACAGCAACACAGGGCCUCUAAGGGGCCUCACCUCUCCCCCAGAGACCCACCAAUCCCCCUGCCUGGUCUUAAAAGAGCCCAGCAGCCCAGCCCUCUGCCUGGGGGGCACCAUGAGCCUAGGGGGCACCUCAGUCAACAGCAGCCCUAAGGUUAGGCUGGGGGGCCAGGGGGUUCGCCUGGGGAACCAGGGGGGAAUGGUCUACCUAGGGGGCACUGUCAAGAACAGCCCUACCCUCAGCCUUGGAGGCAGUGUGGACCUGGGGGGUACUGUCAACCUCAUCCUCAGCUUGGGGAACCAAGGAGACAGUCAUGUGGAGGUGAUGGAGGCUAAUCUUAGGGUGGGUGAGGAGGAGAGCACAGAGCCUGUCCACAGGGACAACAACAUGACAUCAGCUCCUGCAUACGAGAGUAUGUUACUGCCCCGCCUCCACACCAAGACCUCCUCCUCUUCAUCCCCCUCCUCCUCCAGGGCUCCUCAAUCUUGCGUCUCUUUCCCCUCCUCCCUGCCCAAGAACACCUCCAUCUUUUCUAGUCUAAAGAUAAGGAGCAAGAAGAGGAGAAGGAAGAGAGACGCUGGCCGCCACACCAUUCAGAAAAUCAUGGUUGUAGAGGGGGAGGAGCAGACAGAGGUGGCAUGUCCUGCUGAAGCUGCACCCCAGCAAAUCACGCUGUACGACACCCAGACCUGGCCAAUGAAGGAGGGCCGGAGGAAGAAGAAGAGCCUAUUAAAGGCCGACGGGGUGGGCCCAGGGCAGGGGGUGGAACUCGUGGACUACAUGGAUAACCCAUUGGCCAGGGAUAUUGAAGAUGAAUGUUCUGGGGUGUCCACUGUCAGCCCCUAUGCAGUGACAGAGGCAGUCUCUAUAGCUCCACCCAGGGGCCAGGUGAGGAGCCACUGCAGGUUCCUGUCUCUGGGGUCUGUUUUGACCUUCGACCUCUCCAAAGACAUGAGGUUGAUCCCCAGUAUACAGGAUGUCAUCACUAUAGGACUCCCAGAACACAGGGGAACCUCCAACCCAAACCUCAAUCCCAACCCUCACACAGAGACACAUGCAGCCCUCAGCUCUUUCAAACAUACCCGCUCCCCUCCCUCAGACACGCACAGAGCACCAGAUAAUGAGGCCGUCACUACUUACAGAUAUGAAACAAUGACACAGAUUCAGACACAGCCACUACUGACACUGACACAGCCACUACUGACACAGACACAACCACUACCGACACAGACACAACCACUACUGACAAAGAUACAGACACAGACACAACCAUUACUGACACAGACACAGCCACUACUGAGACAGACACCGACACAAAUACUAAAACAGACAAAGCCACUGACACAGGCUAUUCAGCUGGAGCCUCUGUCUAAUCUAGAUACAGAUUUUCCUCCUCCUCCUCCUCCUGCCCUGGAUGAGGACUGGGAUCAGAACGUAUCAAGCAAUGACCUAUCCCUAACACAGAUCCAGACCGUACUCCAGGAGCCUGAGCAGGAGUGGUCGGAGCUCAUCUUCAGCAAGCAACCACCAAUCACAGCUUAUUGCCCAAAGAGUCCCACUCCAAUGAACCGAGACCAUUACAAUUACAUGGAAAUGACCAUGGUUAGUAGAAGUCCCAUUGUAAAGAGCAAGGACCCCUGUCCCUCCUCAGCCUAUCAGAACCAUGAGAGCAAGGACCCCUGUCCCUCCUCAGCCUAUCAGAACCAUGAGAGCAAGGACCCCUGUCCCUCCUCAGCCUAUCAGAACCAUGAGCGCAAGGACCCCUGUCCAUCCUCAGCCUAUAAGAACCAUGAGAGCAAGGACCCCUGUCCAUCCUCAGCCUAUCAGAACCAUGAGAGCAAGGACCACUGUCCCUCCUCAGCCUAUCAGAACCAUGAGCACAAGGACCCCUGUCCAUCCUCAGCCUAUCAGAACCACGAGUGCCUCAUUCAGGACCUCAAUGGACACCAGUACCAUCAUAGGUUGAAGACCCAUAGAGAGAGUGUUGACCUCCAGGAGACCAGCCAGGCUUCUCAGAUGGUUGUGAAUCUGAAGGUCAGUGGGUUAGGGAGUAUGAUGCAAGACUCAAUGGACUCUGGCAUCUCUGGUGUCACCAACUCUGGGAGCUUGAAGCUCAAUGCACCUGAUGUUCUCCAAGAGCCCCAGCCCAUGAGGACUGUGGUGGGGAGGCUAGUGUCUCUGGAGGAGGGGCGUAUGGAGGAUGUGUCCACACCCAGGGGAAAUCCCACAGCAACCCCAGCUCCUGCCCACCCAGAGACAAAAACAACACCCAGAAACAGACACCACCAGACAGAGACAGAACUCGACUCUGAUCCGGUCGACCCCGACCUCACCAUCCAUCCAGACCACCAGCAGUUUGAGGAGGUAGAGGAGGAGCUGGAGGACAUCUGGAACCAUAGCAAUGGCUACAGACAGAGUAUCUCCUCUGACAUCAUGUACCAGCCACACCAAGAGGAGGAGGAGGGGGGAAGUAGCAACACCCCAGGACUGACCACAGACCCCCUCUCACCCCCCCAGGCCCAGCCCCAGGCUACCCCCUACAGAAAGCUGAUAACAACUUCUGCCCCUAACCUUCUGGUGGCUGAAUUCACACUCCCCUCAUCCCUCCAAACCCUACUGGGGUACAACCAGCACCAGAACCAAGACCAGGGCUUUAGCCAAGACCCUAACUCCAGAGAAGAGCUCCCUAUGCUGGCUAACAGAGACAUGAGGUCCUGGGCAGCUUUCCCUAGUCAGGACCAACCCUGGAGGACAACAGCACUGGUCAAUGAAACGGCAGCAGAACCAGUCAAGCUACCGGAAAUGGAGGACCAGAAGAGAUAUAUCUACCAGUAUAGAGAGGAGGAGGAAGAGGAUGAGGAGGAGAAGAUGGAGGACACAGGUUGUCCAAAGGACCCAUCAAUGAGUCUGCUGUCUGUCCACAUGGGUCUGCACGGAAACAAUCAGCGAGCUACAAGUUGUGGCACUCUGGAAGGUGUGAUGGAAAAGCAUGGAGAGAGUCUGGCCACAGGGGGGCGAUGUGGCACUAUGUGUCCAGUGAGCAUGUCUCCUCCAUGACGUCACCCAGCGACCUCUUGGUUCAGGACCCCCCCGCCCCCUUCACCACCUCUUUCCUCUCACAAAGUACCAGCACAGGGACGGACAGAGCCAAGGAGAUAGUUGUCCUGACCAGAGAGACCAGAGAGACUCACCGUCAGAUCCCUCAGUUGCACCCAGAGAAACAGCAGGACCCAACAUCCUCAUCACAUACAGGCCGUCGUGGUAAAGGCCGUCGUGAAGAUAACUAUGACUCCCAGAGACAGAAACUGUGUGGUAGAUACAGGGAGAACAGCCCUUCCUCCUUGCACUCCUCCAUCUCUCCUUUCUCCCUCCACAACUCCUCCUCCAUCCCUCCAUUCUCCCUCCACUCCUCUGUCUCUCCUCCUUUCUCCUCUGUCUAUAGAGGUGGUCAGGACUGGCUCAGUCAAGUGAACAAGUGUCACUCAUUUACCUCAGCAAGGUACCAGAAUAUUAAACCAGCGUUGCUGCCCCCAGGAGGCAGAGGCCGGGACUACGGAUCAGUGGGUCUGGACUGUGGGUCAAACUACUCCGUGACUAUGAUUAUAGGAGACAAGCAGUCUGCCGCUUCUCCCACUCUCAGUUGUGAUGGUAGUGGUCCAUCUAUCACCAGUCACACUGACCCACAGCGCCCCCUCCUGGAUGGAUGGCAGCACCACUCAUUUCACCAGGAAUCUACUACAAGAAGGCAGCUUCACCAGCACCAAGCAAUGUACCACCACGACCAGGAACCAUCUCUGAGGUCCUGCACCGGUCUGCCUCCGCCACGCAAGAAGUCUGUCUUCAACAAGUUCUUUGGAAAGAAAGACUGAAGCUGUUAUCAAUCAAUCACAUAUUUCUCUUACCUUUCUUUUGGUAUUUUCUUAAAACUGCAUCAUCGUUGGUUAAGGGCUUGUAAGAAAGCAUUUCACUGUUGUAUUCGGCGCAUGUGAGAAAUAAAAUUUGAUUUGAUAUUUAUGAAGUCCUUUUUUACUUUUACAGUCCUUUCUUGCCCGACAGCUGAGUUAUAACGGACUGAAGUUAACAUCAUAGCAGCACGUCUGGACUCUGACGUCUUGAGUUUGCUAUGUGAGGGCUGCUGUACUCUGUAUUUUUACUCAAUAAGGAUUGGAAACCAAGCAGGCUUUGUGUAUUAAUGUGUGGUGCUCAUUAAAUGACCCCUGCUACAUACAGUAGCUAAUCUAUUUGUGUUUCAACCAUCCGUGUGUGCUGGUAGUCCUAAGUCCUAAAAAUACAGGUAAAACAAGCUGUGUGUCCUGGAUAAUAGUGGGCCCUGAAAUGAUUGACACCCUUGAUACAUGGUUGACACCCUUGAUACAUGGUUGACACCCUUGAUACAUGGUUAACACCCUUGAUAAAUGUUUGACACCCUUGAUACAUGGUUGACACCCUUGAUACAUGGUUGACACCCUUGAUACAUGGUUGACACCCUUGAUACAUGGUUGACACCCUUGAUAAAUGGUUGACACCCUUGAUACAUGGUUGACACCCUUGAUACAUGGUUGACACCCUUGAUAAAUGGUUGACACCCUUGAUACAUGGUUGACACCCUUGAUACAUGAAUGACACCCUUGAUACAUGAAUGACACCCUUGAUACAUGAUUGACACCCUUGAUAAAGAUGAGCAAUAAUGACUGCAUAAAACAAUUAAAAUACUGAGCUAGAUUGCUAUGCUAAAAAAAGGGAUUUUUUUUUUAUACUAAUACAACUGCUCAGAUAAAGAGAUUUUGUUUAAAAACCUUAAAGUCGUCCAAAUGAUUCAUACCCGUUUUCAGUACAUUUCAACUCAAUUCAAAUUACUUUAUUGGCAUGACUUAACAAUGUACAUAUUGCCAAAACGUACAUAUUGCCUUUCAAUACCACACCUUGUGAGGAUAACCGCAAUGAGCCUUUUUCUAAAAUGCUUUAUUAGUUGGAGAACACAUUAGGAGGGAUCGUAGACCAUUGCCCUCUUCUAUUCAAACCACCAGUUUCCAAUGGGUUUUCAGUCCGGAGACUGAGAUGGCCAUUGCAAAAUGUUGAUUUUGUGGCCAAAUAACCAUUCAUUUGUGGAUUUUGAUGUGUGCAGAGGCAACCAUUUUUUUAGCUAAAAUGUCCUGGUACUGGAUAAAAGUUCAUGAUGCCGUUGACCUUAACAAGAGCCCCGGACCAGUGGAACAAAAGGCGCCCACAGCUACUGUAGAACAUGCUGGUGGAUCUGUAAUGUAAUGGGGCUAUUGACCUUCCACUGGUCCGGGGCCCUUGGUAAGGUCAACUUUACCCAGUA
ensembl:lncRNA